GGUUACGCAACAACCAAGAUCCAUUAUUUUUGAGGGUGGAAAUCCCUUCUUUUGAAUCUGAAUUCCAGCAGCCAAGCCAUUGCCAGCCACCAGCCCCCCUUUUUGGGUCAGCCUCUUGUGACGAUAUGCUAGGCUUUUGUUUUUAACCUUGCGUUUGCCCCCCUUUCCUUUCCAAACUGUCUCACUGCUAAUCUGAACGAGAUCAUAGUUUAAUCUCAUUUCCCGGUCUCUUGGCUGCGGAGGGCGGGAUAUAAAUAAAAAUUAUUAUUAUUGUUGUUGUUAUUAUUUCCUAUGAAGUGCCGAUACCAUUUAUUUCUUGUGUGAUUUGUAUAUUUAAAAAGUGUGGGGAUUGAAGUGCCGAGAAACCUGAGGAAAACAGCCGCCGAGAGGAGGCCGCUCACGCCGGGCAACGAGGCCACCAAAACGCCGCUUCGACCCCCGGGCCUGGGCGAGAGAGCGAGCGAGAGGCGGGUCCUCCUUCACCGCCCCCCGAAGGGGCCGCAGGGCGGGCGGGUUAAUAACUACCAGGGCCCGGCGCUUGGGCACAGACGAGGGGCCGGGCGAGCCGUUUCUGUGAGGCGGCGCUGAGGCAAAAGCGGGCGCCGGGCCUGCCUCCCGCCGAGCGAAGACGACGGCGAGGCCCACUCGCCUCAGGCCGCCAUGGCUGCGCCUGCCGAGCCCAGCUACUUGGGAUGGGACUUCAGCACCCAGCAGCUGAAAGUAAUUGCUGUAGAUGAACAACUGCGAGUCAUCCAUGAGGACAGUGUCAAUUUUGACAAAGAUCUUCCAGAAUUUGGCACUCAAGGUGGCGUCCAUGUUCACAGUGACAGACUGACCGUGACUUCGCCUGUAUUAAUGUGGGUGAAGGCCCUGGAUAUGAUCUUGGAAAAGAUGAAGUCUUCUGGAUUUAACUUCUCCAGAGUGAAAGCUUUGUCUGGAGCUGGGCAGCAACAUGGAAGCGUCUACUGGAAAGAAGGUGCAAACUCUGUUUUACAAAACCUAUCGCCUGAUCUUCCUUUGCAUCAGUCCCUGAAGUCUUGCUUUUCUGUCAGCAACAGCCCUGUCUGGAUGGAUUCCAGCACAACUGCCCAGUGCUGCUCUCUGGAAAAAGCUGUCGGAGGGGCUCAGAAACUAGCUGAGGUCACCGGCUCACGAGCCUACGAGCGUUUUACAGGAAACCAGAUAGCGAAGAUUUACAGCCAGAACCCCGAGGUCUACACACACACAGAGAGGAUCUCUUUGGUCAGCAGCUUUGCAGCCUCCCUUUUCCUAGGGGCUUAUGCUCCCAUUGAUUACAGUGACGGUUCUGGCAUGAACUUACUGCAAAUCCAUGAGAAAGUAUGGAGUCCGGCCUGUCUUGAUGCUUGUGCACCUGGAUUAGGGAAAAAGUUGGGCCAUCCUGUACCAUCUAGCAAAGUACUGGGUUGUGUUUCACCCUACCACACCCAGCGCUUUGGGUUUAAUUCUGGCUGUAAAGUCGUUGCAUUUACUGGAGACAAUCCAGCAUCCAUGGCAGCAAUGAGACUUAGAGAAGGGGACAUUGCAAUUAGCCUUGGCACUAGUGAUACAUUGUUUCUCUGGAUUAAAGAGCCAAAAGCUGCUUUAGAAGGUCACAUCCUCUGCAGUCCAGUUGAUUCACAAGCCUACAUGGCCAUGCUGUGUUAUAAGAAUGGUUCUUUGAUGAGAGAGAAGAUUCGAGAUGAGCAUGCCUCUGGCUCAUGGGAGGAAUUUUCCAAAGCGCUUUUGUCUACGGCUGUUGGAAAUGAUGGAAAUGUGGGCUUUUAUUUUGAUGUGAUGGAGAUUAUACCGGAGACCGUGGGAAUUCACCGAUUCAACACACACAACAACAGAGUCUCAACAUUUCCCAAGGAACUGGAGAUACGGGCCUUGAUUGAAGGGCAGUUCAUGGCCAAAAGGAUUCAUGCUGAAAAGCUGGGAUAUACAAUCCUGCCUACGACAAGAAUCCUGGCUACUGGAGGAGCAUCCCACAAUAAAGCAAUUUUACAAGUCUUGUCUGAUGUGUUCAGUGCUCCAGUUUACACUAUUGACACUGCUAAUUCAGCCUGUUUAGGAUCUGCUUACAGAGCAAUCCAUUGUCUGUGAUCCUCAUUGCAGGACUCGUGGCAGAGACAAGCGUGUCCUUGACUGAUGUUGUGAAAUUAGCACCAGAGCCCAGAUUAGUUGCUACUCCGACAGCUGGCAUGGCUCAGGUUUACCAGCCUUUGCUUAAACGAUAUAAGGAACUUGAACAGCAGUUACUGAAUAGGCCAAAGGAACACCAUAUGAGAGAACCAAAAACAUCAAUCUAAAACCUUCUUUAAACAGGAAAAGCAAAAGCAAGCCAGCUGCUUCACCUUGAAAGUCCGGGACUCUGAGAAUACCUGCACUUUUUUCAAAGUUUGUAGCUUUGGACAAACAUUUGGGCAGUGCUAAAUGAAAGCUGAUGGCUUACUCUACCAGUUAGUUACCAUGUUUUUACCCAAAAAGAACCUGGAAAUCUGAUUUAAUUUUUGUAAGCGAUCACUGAAGAUUUUUGUAUUCACACGUCCUUUUCAAAGAAUUCAGUUCUGUGGGCAAAAGUAACCCUGUAUUGUAGCUAUACCCUCAUUAACCAGCUUGGAGCUGGGUAGAUGUUUCCUGGGUUACAAUGCUGGGUUGUAAAGUCCUGCACAGCUUCAUGUAGUCUUUCCUUUCUAUAUCCCCUUUUCCAACACAAAUAAAAAAGGAGAAAUGACUUAAACUCUUUGAAAAUUUGAAUUGCAUGUGCAAAAUAAAUGCAAACAAUAAAUUUGAUUUGCACCAUU